rnacentral:rRNA from 1 species
AGGUCACUGCUAUCAGGGUUCGACUAAGCCAUGCGAGUCCUGGGGCUGACACAUAUUUAUUUGUGUUAGCACCGGCGGACUGCUCAGUAACACGUGGAUAACCUGCCCUCAGGUCUGGGAUAACCCUGGGAAACUGGGGCUAAUACCAGAUAGGUCAUGGGUGCUGGAAUUGCUCCAUGAUUGAAAGCCUUCGGGUGCCUGAGGAUGGGUCUGCGGCCUAUCAGGUAGUAGUGGGUGUAACGUACCUACUAGCCUGCGACGGGUACGGGUUGUGAGAGCAAGAGCCCGGAGAUGGAUUCUGAGACAUGAAUCCAGGCCCUACGGGGCGCAGCAGGCGCGAAACCUUUACAAUGCGCGAAAGCGCGAUAAGGGAACCCUGAGUGCCAGCACAUGGUGUUGGCUGUCCAGCUGUUUAAAAAGCAGCUGUUAGCAAGGGCCGGGCAAGACCGGUGCCAGCCGCCGCGGUAACACCGGCGGCCCGAGUGGUGACCGCUUUUAUUGGGCUUAAAGCGUUCGUAGCCGGCUGAGUAAGUCUCUUGGGAAAUCUAACAGCUUAACUGUUAGGCGUCUGAGAGAUACUGCUCUGGCUUGGGACCGGGAGAGGUAGGAGGUACUCCAGGGGUAGGGGUGAAAUCUUGUAAUCCCUGGGGGACCAUCGAUGGCGAAGGCAUCCUACCAGAACGGGUCCGACGGUGAGGGACGAAAGCUGGGGGCACAAACCGGAUUAGAUACCCGGGUAGUCCCAGCCGUAAACGAUGCUCGCUAGGUGUCAGGUAUGGUGCGUCCGUAUCUGGUGCCGUAGGGAAACCGUGAAGCGAGCCGCCUGGGAAGUACGGUCGCAAGGCUGAAACUUAAAGGAAUUGGCGGGGGAGCACAACAACGGGUGGAGCCUGCGGUUCAAUUGGAUUCAACGCCGGAAACCUCACCAGGUCAGACAGCAUUAUGAAGGCCAGGCUGAAGACCUUGCCUGAUUCGCUGAGAGGAGGUGCAUGGCCGUCGUCAGUUCGUACUGUGAAGCAUCCUGUUAAGUCAGGUAACGAGCGAGACCCGUGCCUACAGUUGCCAGCGAGCCCUCUGGGGUGGCGGGCACACUGUAGGGACCGCCGUCGCUAAGACGGAGGAAGGUGCGGGCAACGGUAGGUCAGUAUGCCCUGAAUCCUCCGGGCUACACGCGCGCUACAAAGGCUAGGACAAUGGGUUCCAACACCGAAAGGUGGAGGUAAUCCCGAAACCUAGUCGUAGUUCGGAUCGAGGGUUGAAACUCACCCUCGUGAAGCUGGAAUCCGUAGUAAUCGCAGAUCAACAUCCUGCGGUGAAUAUGCCCCUGCUCCUUGCACACACCGCCCGUCAAACCAUGCGAGUUGGGUCUGAGUGAGGAUGCAGUUUUUUGCUGCGUUCAAACUUAGGCUUAGCGAGCGGGGUU